rnacentral:lncRNA from 1 species
AGCUCGUUAAACUUAACGAGCCGAGCUCGAGCUUUGACAUUCCAAACUCGGCUCGGCUCAUUAAGCUCGGUGGGUUCAGUAAGAGGAGUAUAAUAAAAAAUAUAUAUUAUAUUUGGAAAGAAUGAAUAUAUAUCCGUAUAUCGAAAUCCGUAUUGAUAUCCGUAUUUGAUACGAGUUCGGAUACCUAAAUUGAUAUCUGAAUUUUAUCCGGACGGAUUCAGAUAUCCGAAAAAUCCGAAUUCGUUUAAGAAUUUCAGAUACGGAUAUCCGAAUUAGGGUUAAUGUUAGGGAUUCAGAUAUUCGGAUAUCCGAAUAAAUAUAAAUUGACUUUCGAAUUUUAGGGUAAUUAAUUGACUAUUAAUUAACUUUAUUAAUGAUAGUUUUAUAAUUUUAUUUUAAGAUUUUUAUAAAAAGAUAUCCGGAUUCUAAUUAUUCAGAUAUCCGAAAAUUUAUUUGAAUUUUUUUUAUCCAGAUAUCCGAAUUCGAAUUUUUUUAUCCGGAUUUUAUUCGGUCGGAUUCGGAUUAUCCAGAUAUUAUCCGGAUUCGUAUACCUGGGUAUCCGAGUCGAAUCCGACCGAUAUACAAGCUUAAUACGUGAUAACCUUAUUAUAUAGGACGGAUUUGGUUCGGAUAUCCUGGUAUUCGAAUCUGGAUAAUAUCCGGAUAAUCCGAAUCCUUUCGAAUAAAAUCCGGAUAGGAAAAUUAAAAUUUGAAUCAGAAUAAAUUUUUGGAAAACUUUUUAUUGAAAACCAGAUUAAAAAAUAUUAUAUUUUACAAAACAACCCCUAUAUUUAAAAAAAAAUUCUGACUCUCUGUUUAAACAAAUAUAACACAAACAUUUAAUAAAUAAAAUUAAAAAUCUGAUAAAUAUAUAGGUCGUUUGCUGCGGGGGAGUUCCAAGAACUCCGUCGUCAUGCGGAACCACGAAGAUGGAGUUCAGGAACUACGCUCGUCGAAUCGCGGAAGUCUGAACUCUAUCUUCACAAAAUCAGGAGAAAGACCUCAUCCGUCGGAUUUCAAAUCCAAUAGAUGAGAGGAACACCUUCAGCUAGCUUCACCUGAAGGUGGCUGUAAAUAUAUUGUAAUUAAAAGUAUUCCCAUUUCCGUUCAGCCAGUCUAGGAUCACUCAGUACCCCCUACUUUUUUUUUUUUUUGUUAAAGUUACUUUGAUUAAAUGUAAAUAAGAGUUUAAAACAAAUAUAAAUAUUGUUCAAAAGACAAGCUAAAUAUAACUAAUCCCCCGGUAGUCAGCCAAUCCUAACCACCAUCAUCCCCAUCGUGGAUGAGUAGGAGUAGAGCUUCCCAUUGUAGCAGAGCUCUUGAUUCCUUACCUUUCUUACACUGUUUCUUGUAGCGAGCCUCAUCAAAACCUAUCUCCACCAUAGCAAUGCAUCUUCGUAGCAAUGAUUGUCCAUGCUCCAUCGUCUUUCCUUUCUCCAUAGUCUCCCCAUGCUCGAUCAGCCACCGAUAUUUGCCUCUGAACAAAAACAAAAUCGAAUAACAAAAUCUGAAGUUUAAAAGUUCUGGCUCGAGAUAAUGUGAGAAGAAUCAAGAUCUCUUCUGAACUGAGGAUGCCGAAUUGAACCGAUUUGAUCUUGGAUACAUUACAAAGGGACAUCUACCCAUUCCACUUGCGAUAAUUUCCAUUCAUCUCUGGUUUCUUCCAUCGACCAGAUCGUAGGAGAAGAGGCUGGAGGCCACCGCCAACCAGAUCGUAGGAAGAAGAGAUGCUGAUGACGGUCAGAUCCGACAGAUCGACAAAUCAGAGAUGACCAGACUAAUAAUUAAGUAUUUCGAUACACCACUUAAAUAGAAUCUGCUCAUCUGUUUCCACGACAUAAUGCUGCCACUCAUUUUAUUUUAGUAUGGUACCAAUAUUAAUUGUCUAUUCAAAUCUGACGGCUGACACGACUACCAAAGGUGUCUUGUUCCGGAGACACAACGAAACGUGUUGUGUUCAUUUUUUUGAUAACCAUGUUUUAUUAAUUAAGAUUUGAUAAAGACCUCAAUUUGUUUUUUUUGAUACGAC